GCAGCCUCUUCUUCAUUUCAUGGGUGAGGCCAGAAAGAAAAAUGGCCUGAAGUUGGGCAGGGAGGCAGUGCAGAGGACAGCGUGAGAUGAGAGGGAAGAAAGAUGACCUGGUUUUGCUUCCAAGUGACUCAGCAAUGCUUCUGCACCGGUCAGGCUAGAGGAGGACACCCCCAAUGCCAUCCCCUGGGGAGGCCACCACAGGAAAUCAAACCUUCACCCACUGCAGGAACUCCUCAAUAUUUCUGCAGCACAGUCCUGGGAGCCAAGGUAUCCCUUGUUCGUCUCUCCGAGCAUCGCACUGGGGAUCAGGCACGUUGCUUUUAAUAUUCCUAAUGGUUCUUUUUCCUUGGCCUAACUUUAUUCCACUCAUUUUGAAACUCUUGACAACCUUUCAUCAAAUGCUUCUGACAAACUCAAAGCAUAUCUAACAUGGGCACUAAUAAUUUAGUACUGUAAUUUUAUGGGUAUUUUAAAGUUCCUGAGUAUUACUAUUAUUUUAUGGAAUGGCUUUUCCUCCUUUUCUUUGGUCUUUCUUCCUAUAUUCAGUGGAAUUAUAGGUGAAAUGUAUUUCUUGGCUGUUGUUUCAUCUUUUGUUCAUACAGUUAAAUAUUGCACUAGUUAAAGAUUGCACGAGGCCCCCACAUUAAAAUUUUAUUGUAUUUUUGUAUUUAUUUUUGGCCCAGAUCUGGAGGCCUCUCAGGCUCAGGCCUUGUGUAAUUUUAUUGGUUUGUGGGUGGAGGAAAGGACAAAAAUGAGGUUUGUGGCCAGAAUGUUAUCUUUGGCUAUACACAUCUAUCUGAGGGCCUGAUUCUCUCUGGUUCAUAAGCACGUAAAUCUCGAGCAGCUCCACUGGAAAAAAAAAAAAAAGGAAAAAAAAGGGGGGGUUAAAAUGAUGUAAAAUGGAUGUAAAUUAGAUCAGAAUCACCUCUGUGGUGGUUGCAAUGUAAGAGUUUUGCUAUUUAUGAUGUAGCUGGGAGCUGUUGACUAGCCUCUCUAAAGAUAAGAGCCACCUAUAACUCAGUAGUGGGCAUCUUUUUUUUCAUUUUGACUAAUGACUGCUGGCUAAACGAAAGAUAAAAAACACUUGUUUUUAUGAGCUCUAGUGCCUAUAAGCAACAGCAAUAAGAACACAAAACUAAUCACGCUGAGAAUCACAACUGAAUUUUGGUGACCUUGCUGUUGAGUGAAAAGCACCUUAUUCUACUCUCCUUCCACAACCAAAAAACUAUUGAAUUCAAGUGCUAAUACACAGAGGUUUCAGCCUGAAUCAGUUUUUGGUUUUGGUUUUGUUUUAUAAAAGGGGGACUAUCACAUCCUCUGGGGUCUGGGUCUGCAUGUUCUACAGCUCACCGUGAAUCGUGGCCACCGUAUCCUGAGCUGCUUCCUGCCUGGUUCAUUGCCAUCACCACCAUCAUGUUCCUCCUUCAAACCUGUCUUUCUCUUGCUUCUUUGCACAUAUAUUCAUGUCAGGUCUUUGGCUUGGAAAUGACUUCUCCUGUGAGCCAAACCUUCUUAUUCUACACUUUAAAAUCCUUAUGAAAUUUGGCUUGCCUUCCAAAGCUAAGCCUCAGCUCCCUUGUUACUCUUCUAAAUAUAAAACAUUUUUAUUGCAUUGUUAUGCUGAAAAAAAAAAUGACAAGACAAGACGAAAAGAAAAGAAAAGAAAAGAAAAGAAAAGAAAAGAAAAGAAAAGAAAAGAAAAGA